GAUGAACGCUGGCGGCGUGCCUAAUACAUGCAAGUCGAGCGAACGGACGAGAAGCUUGCUUCUCUGAUGUUAGCGGCGGACGGGUGAGUAACACGUGGAUAACCUACCUAUAAGACUGGGAUAACUUCGGAAAACCGGAGCUAAUACCGGAUAAUAUUUUGAACCGCAUGGUUCAAAAGUGAAAGACGGUCUUGCUGUCACUUAUAGAUGGAUCCGCGCUGCAUUAGCUAGUUGGUAAGGUAACGGCUUACCAAGGCAACGAUGCAUAGCCGACCUGAGAGGGUGAUCGGCCACACUGGAACUGAGACACGGUCCAGACUCCUACGGGAGGCAGCAGUAGGGAAUCUUCCGCAAUGGGCGAAAGCCUGACGGAGCAACGCCGCGUGAGUGAUGAAGGUCUUCGGAUCGUAAAACUCUGUUAUUAGUGAAGAACAUAUGUGUAAGUAACUGUGCACAUCUUGACGGUACCUAAUCAGAAAGCCACGGCUAACUACGUG
rnacentral:rRNA from 1 species